UACGGAGGGUGCAAGCGUUAUUCGGAUUUAUUGGGCGUAAAGGGCGUGUAGGUGGUCUGAUAAGUCAGGUGUGAAAGCCCCUGGCUCAACCAGGGAAGUGCAUUUGAAACUAUCAGACUUGAGUACGGGAGGGGGAAGUGGAAUUCCUGGUGUAGAGGUGAAAUUCGUAGAUAUCAGGAGGAAUACCGGUGGCGAAGGCGACUUCCUGGACCGAUACUGACACUGAGAAGCGAAAGCGUGGGGAGCAAACAGG
rnacentral:rRNA from 1 species